rnacentral:ncRNA from 1 species
AGUCGUAACAAGGUUUCCCUAGAGAUCCUUCGAAGCCUUGCACACAUCGACUAUAAAUAAAAGCCGUGUGCAGCCUCUUUCAACGGGGCGACGUCACUAAAGUGCUGGAAUGCAAUACCUGUAAAUCAGCAGCCAAAUAUGAAUUGUUUGAUUCAUGUUCGGUUCACAGAUUAGCUAGUGAUGGUCAAUUGAAUAUCAAUGAUUGAUCAAGAUAUAAUCGGUCUUGUAGUUAUAACUAUAGUUGAGCAACGUUCCGUAGGUGAACCUGCGGAAGGAUCAUUA